GUAGGUGGCAAGCGUUGUCCGGAAUUAUUGGGCGUAAAGCGCGCGCAGACGGUUCUUUAAGUCUGAUGUGAAAGCCCACGGCUCAACCGUGGAGGGUCAUUGGAAACUGGAGAACUUGAGUACAGAAGAGGAAAGCGGAAUUCCACGUGUAGCGGUGAAAUGCGUAGAGAUGUGGAGGAACACCAGUGGCGAAGGCGGCUUUCUGGUCUGUAACUGACGCUGAGGCGCGAAAGCGUGGGGAGCAAACAGGAUUAGAUACCCUGGUAGUCCACGCCGUAAACGAUGAGUGCUAAGUGUUAGGGGGUUUUCCGCCCCCCUUAGUGCUGCAGCUAACGCAUUAAGCACUCCGCCUGGGAGUACGGCCGCAAGGCUG
rnacentral:rRNA from 1 species